rnacentral:rRNA from 1 species
UUCGUUUUCCGCCUACUGCGACUAAAGAGAUUCAGUACCUUAACGCUAAAGGUGCUUUGACUUAUACCGAUAUUGCUGUCGACCCUGUUUUGUAUGGCAACUUGCCGCCGCGUGAAAUUUCUAUGAAGGAUGUUUUCCGUUCUGGUGAUUCGUCUAAGAAGUUUAAGAUUGCUGAGGGUCAGUGGUAUCGUUAUGCGCCUUCGUAUGUUUCUCCUGCUU